GACGUAGGGCGCGAGCGUUGUCCGGAUUUAUUGGGCGUAGAGAGCUCGUAGGCGGUUUGUUGCGUCGGCUGUGAAAACCCAUGGCUUAACUGUGGGCUUGCAGCCGAUACGGGCAGACUAGAGUUCGGUAGGGGAGACUGGAAUUCCUGGUGUAGCGGUGAAAUGCGCAGAUAUCAGGAGGAACACCGGUGGCGAAGGCGGGUC
rnacentral:rRNA from 1 species